UACGGGGGGGGCAAGCGUUGUUCGGAAUUACUGGGCGUAAAGGGCUCGUAGGUCGCCAACUAAGUCAGACGUGAAAUCCCUCGGCUUAACCGGGGAACUGCGUCUGAUACUGGAUGGCUUGAGUUUGGGAGAGGGACGCGGAAUUCCAGGUGUAGCGGUGAAAUGCGUAGAUAUCUGGAGGAACACCGGUGGCGAAGGCGGCCAGCUGGGCCGUCCCUGACGCUGAGGCGCGAAGGCGUGGGGAGCGAACGGG
rnacentral:rRNA from 1 species